UGGCCACGUGCCGACAGAAACUUAGCCUUGCGAUUAAGCAAAUCAUGGUAUUGACACGUACGUACAUGCACAUCUGAAACAGUCUUUUUCAUAAGAAGACACUUUCAAUCUCAUUCUCAUCCCUAACCAUUUUUACAGUAGAACUGUAGAAGUAGCAUCAGCAUAAUAUGCAGCAAACUAGGGAGCUCAACAGCAGCAGCAGCAGCGCUGAAAAUCAACGGCUGAGAGACAAACAUGUUAGGGAUCUGAUGGUGGAGAAGAGGAGACUAGUGGAGGUGUCGUACAGGGCGUCUCUGGCCCACACGAUGAACGCCCUAGUGGCCAACCGCGUGGUGGCGGUGCCAGUGGCGGCGCCACCUGGGCACUGGAUUGGAGCUGGUGGGUCUAUGAUCAUGGAGUCUGAUAAUUAAGCAGACUGGGGCUGUACAGAAGCACUAUAUUGGUAUGGUUACCAUGCUUGAUAUCCUGGCACAUAUUUCUGGAGAUGAUCAAAUGGACGGUGGGGAUGUGUUUGAUCUUGAUCAGAAGAUGGCGGUCCCAGUUUCUUCUAUCAUUGGACACUGCCUUGAGGGUCUUAGUCUAUGGACUCUAAGCCCUAAUACUAGCAUGUUAGAUUGUAUGGAAGUGUUCAGCAAAGGAAUCCACCGGGCUUUGGUACCACUAGACAGCCACAUGGCGAAUACAUCAGGAGUGGAACUUGUAGAGUCUGCAUCGAGCUAUCGAAUGCUUACACAAAUGGACUUGUUAAGGUUCUUGAAGGAGCAUGAGUCUGAUAUAGAAGGCAUCAUAUCACGCCCACUUAGUGAAUUAGGAGCAGUUACCGAGAAUGUUUAUGCCAUCACUGAUCGCACAAAAGUAAUUGAAGCCAUCAAGUGCAUGAGGGCUACAAUGCUUAAUGCAGUUCCUAUAGUUACAGCCUCAAAUGCCCAUGAAGAAGAUCACAAGCAGCUUAUAAAUGGCAGAGGUAGGAAGCUAAUAGGUACAUUUUCCUCCACAGAUUUGAGGGGUAGCCUCCUUGCCACACUGCAAUCAUGGUUGCCUUUGAGUGCACUAGACUUUACCGAGUAUGUCUCGAAAGGCCCCCUAUAUGCAUCUUCGGAUUCACCAAGGCAACUCGUGACUUGUCUACCUGAAUCAUCCCUCACCGAAGUGAUUGACAAAGCAGUCACUAAACAUGUCCACCGAGUUUGGGUUGUGGAUCAACAGGGCUUACUUGUCGGGCUUGUUUCUCUCACAGACAUUAUUAGAGUGAUAAGGCUUUCGCUGCAAUCGGAGUCCCGAAUGAUGUGAAAAGCCUUCUAGUGUGCUACACGUUAGGAAUGAAAAUCAGGGACCAAGUAUGUUAAUUUAACAAAACGCAAUGGUCUAGCACUAUAGAUUUGU